rnacentral:rRNA from 1 species
CUUCGGGAUGGAAGGAUAAGAACUUAGUGGCGGACGGGUGAGUAACGCGUGGGUAACCUGCCCUUUUGUGGGGAACAACUUCGAGAAAUCGGAGCUAAUACCGCAUAAUAAUAGAGGAUCGCAUGAUUCUUUAAGGAAAGAUGGCCUCUGAAGAUGCUAUCGCAAAAGGAUGGACCCGCGUCUGAUUAGCUAGUUGGAAGGGUAACGGCCUACCAAGGCAACGAUCAGUAGCCGGCCUGAGAGGGUGAACGGCCACAUUGGGACUGAGACACGGCCCAAACUCCUACGGGAGGCAGCAGUGGGGAAUCUUCCGCAAUGGGCGAAAGCCUGACGGAGCAAUGCCGCGUGAGUGAAGAAGGCCUUCGGGUUGUAAAACUCUGUCCUUAUCGAAGAGAGGUAGGUAUGUGAAUAAUGUACCUAUAGGACGGUAGAUAAGGAGGAAGCCCCGGCUAACUACGUGCCAGCAGCCGCGGUAAUACGUAGGGGGCGAGCGUUGUCCGGAAUCACUGGGCGUAAAGGGCGCGUAGGCGGUUUAAUAAGUCAGUGGUGAAAACUGAGGGCUCAACCCUCAGCCUGCCACUGAUACUGUUAGACUUGAGUAUGGAAGAGGAGAAUGGAAUUCCUAGUGUAGCGGUGAAAUGCGUAGAUAUUAGGAGGAACACCAGUGGCGAAGGCGAUUCUCUGGGCCAAGACUGACGCUGAGGCGCGAAAGCGUGGGGAGCAAACAGGAUUAGAUACCCUGGUAGUCCACGCCGUANACGAUGGAUACUAGGUGUUAGUAGUUUCGAUGCUACUAGUGCCNGAGUAAACACAAUAAGUAUCCCGCCUGGGGAGUACGGUCGCAAGACUGAAACUCAAAGGAAUUGACGGGGGCCCGCACAAGCGGUGGAGCAUGUGGUUUAAUUCG